AAGUCGUAACAAGGUUUCCGUAGGUGAACCUGCGGAAGGAUCAUUAACACGUAUCCAAACGUUAAACCCCCCUGUGAACCUUCAGUCGUACUCGUACGUCCGUUAGAAAAAGCAGCAAUCCCUGGUAAAUCAUCGCCGAACAGUUUUCGAUUCAGGGACGUCUGCAAGGAGCGUGCAUGUUGUGCGUGUAAGUGGCCUGGCAUCCCCAAGCAGUUAGUGUCUGAAAGUGUCACUAACGUUAGUGUCUGAAAGUGUCACGACCGGGUCACUGGGUGCAAGCCCCCUUAUCACACCCCUGCUCUAUCUAUGGUGAUCCUGCGGGAAGUCCUGCGGUCGAACGCCGAAACCGAACAACUGUUAACAAUGGAUAUCUUGGUUCUC
rnacentral:misc_RNA from 1 species